UACGGAGGGUGCAAGCGUUAAUCGGAAUUACUGGGCGUAAAGCGCACGUAGGCGGCUUCUUAAGUCGGUGGUGAAAUCCUGGAGCUCAACUCCAGAACUGCCUUCGAUACUGGGAAGCUCGAGUCCGGGAGAGGUGAGUGGAACUGCGAGUGUAGAGGUGAAAUUCGUAGAUAUUCGCAAGAACACCAGUGGCGAAGGCGGCUCACUGGCCCGGUACUGACGCUGAGGUGCGAAAGCGUGGGGAGCAAACAGG
rnacentral:rRNA from 1 species